rnacentral:rRNA from 1 species
GGAGGAAAAGAAACUAACAAGGAUUCCCCUAGUAACUGCGAGUGAAGAGGGAAAAGCUCAAAUUUAAAAUCUGGCAGCUUCGCUGUCCGAGUUGUAAUUUAGAGAAGUGUUACCCGNGUUGGACCGUGUAUAAGUCUCCUGGAAUGGAGCGUCAUAGAGGGUGAGAAUCCCGUCUUUGACACGGACUACCAGGGCAUUGUGGUACGCUCUCGAAGAGUCGAGUUGUUUGGGAAUGCAGCUCUAAAUGGGUGGUAAAUUCCAUCUAAAGCUAAAUAUUGGCGAGAGACCGAUAGCGAACAAGUACCGUGAGGGAAAGAUGAAAAGAACUUUGGAAAGAGAGUUAAACAGUACGUGAAAUUGCUGAAAGGGAAACGCUUGAAGUCAGUCGCGUUGGCCAGGGAUCAGCCUUGCUUUUUGUGAGGUGUACUUCCUGGUCGACGGGUCAGCAUCAGUUUUGACCACUGGAAAAAGGCUUGGGGAAUGUGGCACCUUCGGGUGUGUUAUAGCCCUUUGUUGUAUACAGUGGUUGGGACUGAGGAACUCAGCACGCCGCAAGGCCGGGUUUCGACCACGUUCGUGCUUAGGAUGCUGGCAAAAUGGCUUUAAGCGACCCGUCUG